GCCUCGGUGGCUCAGCCUGGUAGAAACUAAAUUGCCAAGAGCGAGCGCCUCGUAAGCGCUAAGUCGCGGGAUCGAAGCCCGCCCGAGGCU
rnacentral:tRNA from 1 species